ACACUGGUGGGGGUUUAUCUGUCGGCAGAACUCGAGAAUAUUGCGGAGGCUCGGCCGUCGGAGAGGUUCGAAAAGAUGUCAUCGAAGGUCGGACGUCGGUAGAAUCCCUGGAGGGUCACUCCUGACACGAACUUUGGCUGGGGGGUAUUUUAUACCCAACAGGUGUGUUUUGGGGUGUCUAAUUGUGGGUGCAAGGGCUCAAAUUGUUGGUGCCUAAUGGGCUUCCUAAUAUAAGUUGGAUAACUUAAAU
rnacentral:lncRNA from 1 species